UACAGAGGGGGCAAGCGUUGUUCGGAAUUACUGGGCGUAAAGGGCGCGUAGGCGGCCUGCUAAGUCGCUCGUGAAAUCCCCGGGCUUAACCCGGGAACUGCGACCGAUACUGGUUGGCUUGAAUUCGGGAGAGGGAUGCAGAAUUCCAGGUGUAGCGGUGAAAUGCGUAGAUAUCUGGAGGAAUACCGGUGGCGAAGGCGGCAUCCUGGACCGACAUUGACGCUGAGGAGCGAAAGCUAGGGGAGCAAACGGG
rnacentral:rRNA from 1 species